rnacentral:rRNA from 1 species
GUUGUAUGGUUAAGUGACUAAGCGUACACGGUGGAUGCCUUGGCAGUCAGAGGCGAUGAAAGACGUAGUAACUUGCGAUAAGCCCAGAUUAGGUAGUAACAACCAUUUGAGUCUGGGAUUUCUGAAUGGGGAAACCCACGUGCAUAAGCACGUAUCCUUACCUGAAUACAUAGGGUAAGGAGGCGAACCGGGGGAACUGAAACAUCUAAGUACCCCGAGGAAAAGAAAUCAACCGAGAUUCCGAAAGUAGCGGCGAGCGAAAUUGGACUAGCCCUUAAGCUUUACACGCGUUAGACGAACGGUCUGGAAAGUCCGACGAUACAGGGUGAUAGUCCCGUAGUUGACGACGUGUGUUCAGUGAAAUCGAGUAGGGCGGGACACGUGAUAUCCUGUCUGAAUAUGGGGGGACCAUCCUCCAAGGCUAAAUACUACUGACUGACCGAUAGUGAACCAGUACCGUGAGGGAAAGGCGAAAAGAACCCCUGUGAGGGGAGUGAAAUAGAACCUGAAACCGUGUACGUACAAGCAGUAGGAGCAGGCUUUGUCCUGUGACUGCGUACCUUUUGUAUAAUGGGUCAGCGACUUAUAUUCAGUGGCAAGGUUAACCAUCUAGGGGAGCCGUAGGGAAACCGAGUCUUAACUGGGCGUUCAGUCUCUGGAUAUAGACCCGAAACCAGGUGAUCUAGCCAUGGGCAGGUUGAAGGUUGAGUAACAUCAACUGGAGGACCGAACCGACUAAUGUUGAAAAAUUAGCGGAUGACUUGUGGCUAGGGGUGAAAGGCCAAUCAAACCUGGAGAUAGCUGGUUCUCCCCGAAAGCUAUUUAGGUAGCGCCUCGGACGAAUACUACUGGGGGUAGAGCACUGUUAAGGCUAGGGGGUCAUCCCGACUUACCAACCCUUUGCAAACUCCGAAUACCAGUAAGUACUAUCCGGGAGACACACGGCGGGUGCUAACGUCCGUCGUGGAGAGGGAAACAACCCAGACCGCCAGCUAAGGUCCCAAAUUACUACUAAGUGGGAAACGAUGUGGGAAGGCUCAGACAGCCAGGAUGUUGGCUUAGAAGCAGCCAUCAUUUAAAGAAAGCGUAAUAGCUCACUGGUCGAGUCGGCCUGCGCGGAAGAUGUAACGGGGCUAAGUAGUAAACCGAAGCUGCGGCAAUACUCUUUGAGUAUUGGGUAGGGGAGCGUUCUGUAAGCGGUUGAAGGUGUGUGGUAACGCAUGCUGGACGUAUCAGAAGUGCGAAUGCUGACAUGAGUAACGAUAAAGGGGGUGAAAAACCUCCUCGCCGGAAGACCAAGGGUUCCUGUCCAACGUUAAUCGGGGCAGGGUAAGUCGACCCCUAAGGCGAGGCCGAAAGGCGUAGUCGAUGGGAAACGGGUUAAUAUUCCCGUACUUCUUACAAUUGCGAUGGGGGGACGGAGAAGGCUAGGUGGGCCUGGCGACGGUUGUCCAGGUUCAAGUGCGUAGGCUUAAGAGUUAGGUAAAUCCGGCUCUUUUUAAGGCUGAGACACGACGUCGAGCACCUACGGGUGUGAAGUCAUUGAUGCCAUGCUUCCAGGAAAAGCCUCUAAGCUUCAGAUUGUAAGGAAUCGUACCCCAAACCGACACAGGUGGUCGGGUAGAGAAUACCAAGGCGCUUGAGAGAACUCGGGUGAAGGAACUAGGCAAAAUGGUACCGUAA